GACGAACGCUGGCGGCGUGCUUAACACAUGCAAGUCGAACGGAAAGGCCCUGCUUUUGUGGGGUUCUCGAGUGGCGAACGGGUGAGUAACACGUGAGUAACCUGCCCUUGACUGUGGGAUAACUUCUGGAAACUGGGGCUAAUACCGGAUAGGAGCUCCUGCUGCAUGGUGGGGGUUGGAAAGUUUCGGCGGUUGUGGAUGGACUCGCGGCUUAUCAGCUUGUUGGUGGGGUAGUUGCUUACCAAGGCUUCGACGGAUAGCCGGCCUGAGAGGGUGACCGGCCACAUUGGGACUGAGAUACGGCCCAGAAUCCUACGGGAGGCAGCAGUGGGGAAUAUUGCACAAUGGGCGGAAGCCUGAUGCAGCAACGCCGCGUGCGGGAUGACGGCCUUCGGGUUGUAAACCGCUUUCGCCUGUGACGAAGCGUGAGUGACGGUAAUGGGUAAAGAAGCACCGGCUAACUACGUG
rnacentral:rRNA from 1 species